rnacentral:rRNA from 1 species
AGUGAACGCUGGCGGUAGGCCUAACACAUGCAAGUCGAACGGCAGCACAGUAAGAGCUUGCUCUUACGGGUGGCGAGUGGCGGACGGGUGAGGAAUACAUCGGAAUCUACUUUUUCGUGGGGGAUAACGUAGGGAAACCUACGCUAAUACCGCAUACGACCUACGGGUGAAAGCAGGGGAUCUUCGGACCUUGCGCGAUUGAAUGAGCCGAUGUCGGAUUAGCUAGUUGGCGGGGUAAAGGCCCACCAAGGCGACGAUCCGUAGCUGGUCUGAGAGGAUGAUCAGCCACACUGGAACUGAGACACGGUCCAGACUCCUACGGGAGGCAGCAGUGGGGAAUAUUGGACAAUGGGCGCAAGCCUGAUCCAGCCAUACCGCGUGUGUGAAGAAGGCCUUCGGGUUGUAAAGCCCUUUUGUUGGGAAAGAAAAGCAGCAGGUUAAUACCCCGCUGUUCUGACGGUACCCAAAGAAUAAGCACCGGCUAACUUCGUG